AAUCUGUGGUGGCGUGAUAUGCCGCCAAUCCAUCCCUAAAAUUACAUCAAAAUCCCCCGUGUCUAACCCUAUUAGGUCUACAAUAUUGAAUCAAGUUUAUCAGGUGAUACAUUAAGUUUGGAUGCAAAAACAUGUGAAAUAAAUGAAUACAAUGCACCAAUGUCAAAUAAAACAUGAGCAAUAUGGUCACGAUAGUUUACAUACCCUGUACCACGUCCGGGUCGGUGUCGGCAUCCUGCUGUGUGAUGUUAUAAACCCUGUCCUGAAAAGGAGGUCUUCCUUGGUUCUGGUUCCUUGGGCACUCUCUCGCAUAGUGCUGGGCACUACCACAUAUACGACAAGUGUUGUUGAGCUGAUAGCAUGGUCGGUCCCCGUGAUCCCUGCCGCAGUGUUGACAGAUCUUGCCAUGUGCUGCCCUUGGGGCCUGA
rnacentral:lncRNA from 1 species